rnacentral:rRNA from 1 species
GAUGAACGCUGGCGGCGUGCCUAAUACAUGCAAGUCGAGCGAACAGAUGAGGAGCUUGCUCCUCUGACGUUAGCGGCGGACGGGUGAGUAACACGUGGAUAACCUACCUAUAAGACUGGGAUAACUUCGGGAAACCGGAGCUAAUACCGGAUAAUAUAUUGAACCGCAUGGUUCAAUAGUGAAAGACGGUUUUGCUGUCACUUAUAGAUGGAUCCGCGCCGCAUUAGCUAGUUGGUAAGGUAACGGCUUACCAAGGCAACAAUGCGUAGCCGACCUGAGAGGGUGAUCGGCCACACUGGAACUGAGACACGGUCCAGACUCCUACGGGAGGCAGCAGUAGGGAAUCUUCCGCAAUGGGCGAAAGCCUGACGGAGUAACGCCGCGUGAGUGAUGAAGGUCUUCGGAUCGUAAAACUCUGUUAUUAGGGAAGAACAAAUGUGUAAGUAACUAUGCACGUCUUGACGGUACCUAAUCAGAAAGCCACGGCUAACUACGUG